rnacentral:rRNA from 1 species
CGCCUGUUUACCAAAAACAUCGCCUCUUGAUAAACUAUAAGAGGUCUAGCCUGCCCAGUGACAUAGUUAAACGGCCGCGGUACCCUGACCGUGCGAAGGUAGCAUAAUCACUUGUUCUUUAAAUAAGGACUAGUAUCAACGGCAUCACGAGGGUUAUACUGUCUCCUCUCUCCAAUCAGUGAAACUAAUUUCCCCGUGAAGAAGCGGGGAUAAGAAUAUAAGACGAGAAGACCCCAUGGAGCUUUAAACCCAACAGCAACCCCCAUACAUAAAUCCCCUAGUAACUAAAGAGGUCCUGCCUGUUGGUUUUAGGUUGGGGUGACCGCGGAGUAAAACUAAACCUCCACGACGAACGGGAUUAACCCCUAAUCCAAGAGCCACCGCUCUAAGAAUCAAUAAAUUGACGUAAAAUGAUCCGAUAAUCGAUCAACGAACUAAGUUACCCUGGGGAUAACAGCGCAAUCCAUUUCAAGAGCCCCUAUCGACAAAUGGGUUUACGACCUCGAUGUUGGAUCAGGGUAUCCCAGUGGUGCAGCCGCUACUAAAGGUUUGUUUGUUCAACAAUUAAAACCCUACGUGAUCUGAGUCCAGGACCGGGAGG